GUAGUCCUUUAGAGCCUCUGGACAGAAGGUCUGAUGAAUACAUGUAAAGCUUAUUGAGCCUCAGAACUCUAACUACAGGGUUUCAAUAGCACAGAAACUCUGAGAAGAAAAAGAAUGUCAAAGUUCCUCCCUAAGGAGACUGAUUAGAUGCAAGUGUGUCCGGAAUUGGUGGGUUCUUGGUCUGACUUCAAGAAUGAAGCCGCGGACCCUCACGGUGCUGCUGUUUUACUAAGAGGUAUAUGAAUAAUGGAAAUGCCUCCUGUAAUCCUAGCACUUUGGGAGGCCGAGGCGGGCGGAUCACCUGAGGUUGGGAGUUCGAGACCAGCCUGACCAACAUGGGGAAACCCCCUCUCUACUAAAAAUACAAAAUUAGCUGGGCGUGGUGGUCCAUGCCUGUAAUCCCAGCUACUUGGGAGGCUGAGGCAGGAGAAUCGCUUGAACCCAGGAGGCGGAGGUUGAGGUGAGCCGAGAUCAUGCCAUUGCACUGUAGCC
rnacentral:lncRNA from 1 species